AAGCCAUGGUGUGGGCACUUUCUAAGAAGUUCAUUGUACCUUUCCCAUGCAUUAUACAUAGUCUCCCCAUCAAAUUGAGUGAAACUGUAAAUAUCCCUCAAAAGUUU
rfam:Gossypium raimondii Chr13_contig_274, whole genome shotgun sequence.